rnacentral:piRNA from 1 species
UGGUAGCGUGUCAGACUCCUUGGCUGG